rfam:Lingula anatina scaffold489, whole genome shotgun sequence.
UGGCAAUGAGGACAACAUUUUAAUGAUGCAAGAUGAUCAUAUAUUAUACGCUAUUCUGAGCCAUGA